rnacentral:rRNA from 1 species
GAUGAACGCUAGCUACAGGCUUAACACAUGCAAGUCGAGGGGCAGCAUGAACUUAGCUUGCUAAGUUUGAUGGCGACCGGCGCACGGGUGCGUAACGCGUAUCCAACCUUCCCGUUACUCAGGUAUAGCCUUGCGAAAGUAAGAUUAAUCCCUGAUGACAUAUGUUUACUGCAUGGUGAUCAUAUUAAAGAUUUAUCGGUAACGGAUGGGGAUGCGUUCCAUUAGGUAGUUGGUGAGGUAACGGCUCACCAAGCCCGCGAUGGAUAGGGGUUCUGAGAGGAAGGUCCCCCACACUGGAACUGAGACACGGUCCAGACUCCUACGGGAGGCAGCAGUGAGGAAUAUUGGUCGAUGGUCGGAAGACUGAACCAGCCAAGUAGUGUGAGGGAUGACUGCCCUAUGGGUUGUAAACCUCUUUUAUAUGGGAAUAAAAAAGAUUACGUGUAGUCUAUUGUAUGUACCUUAUGAAUAAGCAUCGGCUAAUUCCGUGCCAGCCGCCGCGGUAAGAC